CCGCCGUUAAAUAACGAAUGGACGGCCCCGCAUGGCCGUCAGAUCGUCACUCCGUUGCGCGACCGCCGCCGCCGCGCUCGCACUCCACCACCAACAGCCAGCCUUCCUCGCCGCCGUCCGCCUCCGGCUUCGCCGGAUCCCGACGAGGAGAGCCAUGUCUUCGUCGUCGUCGGCUGCCGCCGCCGCCGCGCCGCACCAGGCCGGGACGUGGCACGCGGUGCCGGACCUCAGCCUCCGCGACCACCGUUUCGCCGUCCCUCUCGACCACUCCGCCGGCUCCACGCCCACCAUCACCGUCUUCGCCCGCGAGGUCGUCGCAGCCGGAAAAGAAGAGGCACCUUUGCCUUAUUUGAUGUACCUACAAGGUGGACCAGGAUUCGAAAGUCCUCGUCCCAUGGAAGCAAGUGGAUGGGUAAAGAAAGCAUGUGAAGAAUACCGCGUGGUGUUACUUGAUCAGCGAGGAACAGGAUUGUCAACACCGUUGACAACAUCAUCUCUUUCACAAAUAACAUCUGCAGUAGAGCAGGUGGAGUAUUUGAAGCAUUUCAGGGCAGAUAACAUAGUUAAGGAUGCAGAAUUUAUUCGUCUGAACCUUGUACCAGAUGCCAAGCCGUGGACAAUUCUGGGACAGUGACGUGGAUUUGUAUAAUCUAUACAAAUCCACGUCACUUAUUUCAGGACGGAGUAUUUAAUUAUACCAGAGAAGUGCCUCCUCGUGCUCUCCCUCUCUACUUGCUCCAGCGCCACGCCCCCUGCCCCCAACGCCGCCGCCCCGUCGCACGAGCCUGCCGCCCCGUUGUCCAUCGAGUGAGCUCGCCGCAUGACGCCCGCGCCUUGCCGCCGCUCUUCAUGCCCUCUGCGCCCCGCCCUCGCCAAUCGAAAUCGAAGAGCAGGUCGAAGAGGUUUUAGAUUCCGGCGAAACAGGUCGUCCAAGAUGUAGAGGAGGUUGAGGAGGUGGUGCCAGAGGAGAUCGUGGACAUGCUCUGGAAGCACACGUACGCGGACGAGCUACGGCAGGGCCUGCUCCGCAGCCAUGGCGCCAGCGCGCGCGUGCGCACCCUAGCGACGUCGUCUGUGUUGACGUGUCCAGCGUGGCGCCACGGUGGCACUGACAGGUGGGCCCUCCUAUCAGUUUUACCGUCAAAACGUACUCAACUGCGAAAUCAAUGUGCGGGAGUACCUCCGGACCCGAAAAUGGUGGUGAUUUGAAUAUAUAUUUUUUUUAAAGGUUGACGACACUCAGUCCUCCUUCAGCUUUGGCUCGGCAAACUAGUUACUAUGCAGCAAGUGGUGGAUUUUUUUUGGUAAGAUCAUGGCCUCUCUAUAGGUAGUGUCUUCUAUAUUUGUCAAUUUGGGUGAUCACCCCUUUAGGUAGGACAAAUGUGCUCAUUUGAAAGGUAGGAAGUGAUGAGAGGACAGAGCUGACCAGUUGCAGUUUACCUCCAUAUGAAAGCAUGCUAGAGAAGCAAGUAAGUUGCUUUCAAUUUGUUUGAAUGUUUGAUCAUGGGCAUGAACUAUUCAAUCUUUGGUU